rnacentral:tRNA from 1 species
CAGAGCAUAGCAUAUAUAAUGCCCUUUACUUACAAUAAAGAAAAAUCAAAUCAGUUUGCCCUGAUG